AUUGAACGCUGGCGGCAUGCUUUACACAUGCAAGUCGAACGGCAGCACGGGGGCAGCCCUGGUGGCGAGUGGCGAACGGGUGAGUAAUACAUCGGAACGUGCCCGGUCGUGGGGGAUAACGUAGCGAAAGUUACGCUAAUACCGCAUACGAUCUGAGGAUGAAAGCGGGGGACCUUCGGGCCUCGCGCGAUCGGAGCGGCCGAUGUCAGAUUAGGUAGUUGGUGGGGUAAAGGCCUACCAAGCCGACGAUCUGUAGCUGGUCUGAGAGGACGACCAGCCACACUGGGACUGAGACACGGCCCAGACUCCUACGGGAGGCGGCAGUGGGGAAUUUUGGACAAUGGGCGCAAGCCUGAUCCAGCCAUUCCGCGUGCAGGACGAAGGCCUUCGGGUUGUAAACUGCUUUUGUACGGAACGAAAAGGCUCUGGCUAAUACCUGGGGCUCAUGACGGUACCGUAAGAAUAAGCACCGGCUAACUACGUG
rnacentral:rRNA from 1 species